rnacentral:rRNA from 1 species
UGGGGAAUUUUGGACAAUGGGCGAAAGCCUGAUCCAGCAAUGCCGCGUGUGUGAAGAAGGCCUUCGGGUUGUAAAGCACUUUUGUCCGGAAAGAAAUCCUUGGCUCUAAUACAGUCGGGGGAUGACGGUACCGGAAGAAUAAGCACCGGCUAACUACGUGCCAGCAGCCGCGGUAAUACGUAGGGUGCAAGCGUUAAUCGGAAUUACUGGGCGUAAAGCGUGCGCAGGCGGUUUGCUAAGACCGAUGUGAAAUCCCCGGGCUCAACCUGGGAACUGCAUUGGUGACUGGCAGGCUAGAGUAUGGCAGAGGGGGGUAGAAUUCCACGUGUAGCAGUGAAAUGCGUAGAGAUGUGGAGGAAUACCGAUGGCGAAGGCAGCCCCCUGGGCCAAAUACUGACGCUCAUGCACGAAAGCGUGGGGAGCAAACAGGAUUAGAUACCCUGGUAGUCCACGCCCUAAACGAUGUCAACUAGUUGUUGGGGAUUCAUUUCCUAGUAACGUAGCUAACGCGUGAAGUUGACCGCCUGGGGAGUACGGUCGCAAGAUUAAAACUUAAAGGAAUUGACGGGGUCAUA